GUGAUAGUGACUGAGUAAAUAUAGUGCUAGUCUGAAAGUCAAGAUGAUAUAGGUUCAAAUCCUUCCUCUUACA
rnacentral:tRNA from 1 species